GGGCGUUAAGUUGCAGGGUAUAGACCCGAAACCCGGUGAUCUAGCCAUGGGCAGGUUGAAGGUUGGGUAACACUAACUGGAGGACCGAACCGACUAAUGUUGAAAAAUUAGCGGAUGACCUGUGGCUGGGGGUGAAAGGCCAAUCAAACCGGGAGAUAGCUGGUUCUCCCCGAAAGCUAUUUAGGUAGCGCCUCGUGAAUUCAUCUCCGGGGGUAGAGCACUGUUUCGGCUAGGGGGCCAUCCCGGCUUACCAACCCGAUGCAAACUGCGAAUACCGGAGAAUGUUAUCACGGGAGACACACGGCGGGUGCUAACGUCCGUCGUGAAGAGGGAAACAACCCAGACCGCCAGCUAAGGUCCCAAAGUCAUGGUUAAGUGGGAAACGAUGUGGGAAGGCCCAGACAGCCAGGAUGUUGGCUUAGAAGCAGCCAUCAUUUAAAGAAAGCGUAAUAGCUCACUGGUCGAGUCGGCCUGCGCGGAAGAUGUAACGGGGCUAAACCAUGCACCGAAGCUGCGGCAGCGACACUAUGUGUUGUUGGGUAGGGGAGCGUUCUGUAAGCCUGUGAAGGUGGCCUGUGAGGGUUGCUGGAGGUAUCAGAAGUGCGAAUGCUGACAUAAGUAACGAUAAAGCGGGUGAAAAGCCCGCUCGCCGGAAGACCAAGGGUUCCUGUCCAACGUUAAUCGGGGCAGGGUGAGUCGACCCCUAAGGCGAGGCCGAAAGGCGUAGUCGAUGGGAAACGGGUUAAUAUUCCCGUACUUGGUGUUACUGCGAAGGGGGGACGGAGAAGGCUAUGUUGGCCGGGCGACGGUUGUCCCGGUUUAAGCGUGUAGGUGUGUGUUCCAGGUAAAUCCGGUUCACUUUAACACUGAGGCGUGAUGACGAGGCACUACGGUGCUGAAGCAACAAAUGCCCUGCUUCCAGGAAAAGCCUCUAAGCAUCAGGUAACAUCAAAUCGUACCCCAAACCGACACAGGUGGUCAGGUAGAGAAUACCAAGGCGCUUGAGAGAACUCGGGUGAAGGAACUAGGCAAAAUGGUGCCGUAACUUCGGGAGAAGGCACGCUGACACGUAGGUGAAGUGAUUUACUCAUGGAGCUGAAGUCAGUCGAAGAUACCAGCUGGCUGCAACUGUUUAUUAAAAACACAGCACUGUGCAAACACGAAAGUGGACGUAUACGGUGUGACGCCUGCCCGGUGCCGGAAGGUUAAUUGAUGGGG
rnacentral:rRNA from 1 species